rnacentral:rRNA from 1 species
UACGGGGGGUGCGAGCGUUGUCCGGAAUCACUGGGCGUAAAGGGCGCGUAGGUGGUUUGAUAAGGGUGUGGUGAAAGUCCGGGGCUCAACCCCGGAUCUGCCGUGCCGACUGUCAAACUCGAGGGCUGUAGAGGCAGACGGAAUUCCGGGUGUAGCGGUGGAAUGCGUAGAUAUCUGGAGGAACACCGGUGGCGAAGGCGGCGUUCUGGACUGCAACUGACACUGAGGAACGAAAGCCAGGGGAGCAAACGGG